rnacentral:rRNA from 1 species
CGGUAAUACGGAGGAUGCGAGCGUUAUCCGGAAUCAUUGGGUUUAAAGGGUCUGUAGGCGGGCUGGUAAGUCAGAGGUGAAAGCGCUCAGCUCAACUGAGCAACUGCCUUUGAAACUGUUGGUCUUGAAUGGUUGUGAAGUAGUUGGAAUGUGUAGUGUAGCGGUGAAAUGCUUAGAUAUUACACAGAACACCGAUAGCGAAGGCAUAUUACUAACAAUUAAUUGACGCUGAUGGACGAAAGCGUGGGGAGCGAACAGGAUUAGAUACCCUGGUAGUCCACGCUGUAAACGAUGGAUACUAGCUGUUUGGUUUAAGGAUUGAGUGGCUAAGCGAAAGUGAUAAGUAUCCCACCUGGGGAGUACGUUCGCAAGAAUGAAACUCAAAGGAAUUGACGGGGGCCCGCACAAG